rnacentral:snoRNA from 1 species
CACUCCUAUUUCUGCCCUGAAUCCAUCCUCAUUGGAUUAUAGGUUCUGGUGAUGGAGAAGAAUAAGCCUGUCAACGGCCCUGGCGAAUUUUGUAACCUCGCCUUGUCUUUUGGCAGGAUCGUGGGGAUUGGUUGUUCUAGAAGACUUUGCCGUUUUUCUGUGGAGUCGAGUGGCCGCCCCUACAUUA